ACUUAUGCAGUGAACCUCAAAGAUGGGGCAAACAUAGUCCCAGAAGAUGUGAAUUCAUAAAGUGCUUAACUGGAGCUUUCAGACAAAAUAGGAAUUUCUCAGAAAUCACUUGGAAAGUCUGGGAGCAGAAUUACUAUAGUUACUCUGGUGCAGAACAGUAGGAUUCAAGAAGCUUAUGAAACCUGACCAAGUAGCAAAGGAAGCUUUGAACUCAAAUCUCCCUGGCUCCAAGGCUUCUUUUUUUACACUUUUCACACCCGUGAUUCUUAAGCACAGGCUUAUCAUUUACUUGGCAGCAAAACCAGAAGAGAUUCACGAGGAUGGAGACUGAAAUUCUACGAAUCAAACAUUCUACAACAUUAUAUAAAGCCAUUAACACACUUUAAGUAUGAAGCCUGAAAGUGUGUCUAGUUCAUCGAUAGGUCUUUUAAAAAAAGAAAAGAAAAAGAAAAAUACUGCUCUAGAAAAAUAAUUAUUAAGAAAUUUUGGACUGUUGGAAAUUCGAUGAAAGAAUUUCCCCAGGAAAUCAAGAACAUUCUGGUUGAUCUAUGUCAACUGAAGGAGGAAAUACGAUAUUCUACUAUCUUAGGACUCCAAUAAUGCCUGGCAUUAAAACUUUCAAAUUAUCUGAGUACAGUUAACAGUCACAUAGAGGACAAGAUCAAGCUGGAUUUAAGCGACAGAACUCCAAUACCUUUGUGAUCCUUUCUGCACACAGAUCUCUCAGGGAGGAUUAAUGAAGAAGAGCUUCCAAUCCUUGAUUCAGACUCUUACUGAAUUGUAUUUCUAACAGGCAUAUAGUGCAUCACUGUAGCUCUCAUUUACUUCAAAACUACAAAGGAAAUAAAGCCACUAAA